GAUAAACGCUGGCGGCGUGCCUAACACAUGCAAGUCGAACGCCCUUUUGCGCAAGUGAGAGGGAGUGGCGGACGGGUGAGUACCACGUGGGUACCUACCUUGAGGUGAGGAAUACCACCGAGAAAUCGGUGACAAGACCGCAUACGCUCGGGCAACCGAGCAAAGUCAUGCAAAAUGACGCCACAAGAUGAGCCUGCGCCUGAUUAGCUGGUUGGUGAGGUAACAGCUCACCAAGGCGACGAUCAGUAGCUGGUCUGAGAGGAUGAUCAGCCACACUGGGAUUGAGAACGGCCCAGACUCCGUACGGGGGCAGC
rnacentral:rRNA from 1 species